ensembl:lncRNA
AUGGCCAUCGCGGACCAGCUGCUGGAGUUGAUGUUCUCCUGGAUCGAUCAGAGGGAGUGCUGUGCAGAGCAGCUGAGGAAACUGGCCAAAGAGCUGGAGUCAUGCAGAAAGAAUUGUAAUAUCAGUGAAUGUGUUGGAACCACAGUGUCAGUGGCUGGAUCUGCAUGUAUGAUCGCAGCCGGUGUGGCCACUUUGUUCACCGGCGGUGCAGCUGCUCCACUUUUAGGUAUGGCAGGAGCAGUGUGUACAGGUGCAGGUGCCACUGUAUCUGUGGGUACUAAAAUCAUUGAGGGCUUCAAAUCCAGUGACACCAUUAAAGAGGCGCAAGAGAUAGAAAAGAAGAGCAACGAGGUUGCAGAAGAAAUACAGAAGCUGUUUGAACAACUGAAGGUGGAGAGUUUCUCCACAGACCCAAAUAAACAGGACCGACACGUCAUGACUGAAAUUCUGAAAGCCAUAGCCAGGCGAAGUGGACUGAAGGGGAGGAUUCGGAUCCGCAGGCUUGAUAAAGAGCUACAGAUUCUUUUCGACAAAGAACAGUCAAACGAGAGGCUCAACCAGAGCUUCUUGAACCCUGAAGUAAUGGUUUCACUUGGUGGAAUUUUAGCAUUUUUUGCACUUCAGCUUUGUGGAAAAACAUUGAAACGUUUCUUGGCUAAAGGAGCUGAGCAACUGAUCAAACAUACAUGCAAAGGUAGUGCUCUAGGAACUGACCAGUUCAUCAAAACUGGUGCCAAAGGAGCUAAAAAUAUCAUCAAACAAAUGUCUUCAAAAGCGCUAAAAGGAGGUGUCAUGGUUGUAGGAGGAGCUGUUGGUCUGGCGUUUGAACUUCCUGAGGCGAUUGACAACUGGACAGACCUGAUCAAGAAGAAUCAUGUGACUGAAGCGAGCCAAUCACUGAGAGAUACAGCUGACGCCAUUCUAGAGAUCACCGGGAUGCUGGGGGAACAGUUCAACAUAAUCAAGCAAAUCUUUGACGAGAUGGUGAAACGUCACGAGGAAAAGGCUUCCAGACGGAAAAGACUGAUGUGCUGCUUGUGCUGCUGCUCUGCAGAAUGAGGCCAGACCAGGUUAACAGAGAGUGACAGAACAGGCCCCCCAAUCCGGCCCCCCAGCAACACAACCAAAGGCCACAGCAGAGACGGCCGCCACAGAUUGUGACUUCUGAACAUUUAGAAUUAUUUCUUUCUGAUGUAUUAUUUGGUAAAUAUAUUUGUUCUUGGUUUAAAGGUUAUAUAAAAUGUACAGCUGUGCAAAGAUUAUGGAAAGGAUCCCCGCAGAGAUAGACUUUUUGUCUAACCAGAAACAGACGUGAUAUUACUUGUUAUUGACUUUGAAAGCAUUUAUUUUCACUGUGGAAGCAACCUGACAGACAGUCUGCAUCAAGCUUCGUCAUUUCUUGAUUUAACUGUAUUUAUUCAGAAGUUUAUGUUAGGAUUAUAUAAAUAUGUGUUUGUCAGGGAACUAUAAAUAUAUUUCAUUUGAUGUCUUUGAACAAAUGACCAGAGCAACGUUAAUCAGUCACUGAGUGUAAUCUGCUGCUCAAACACCAGAUGGCAGUAGAGAUCAGUCAGAUUCAAUCAACACAGCUGUUAAACUUCCUGAACUUGGAGAGACAGCGAUACCUGAGGGCAUUUGGUUAUUAAUAGUGGUGGUAAUAUGGUAAUCUAAUAGUAAUAAUUUUAUUAUAAAGAGGCUCAUAAAGUCAUUGCUACUUAAGGUUAUGGGGAUACAGUUUUCAUAUAUAUAUAUAUAUAUAUAUAUAUAUAUAUAUGUUUCUCCUACUUCAAAUGGUUCAAAAGUUAUACAAUAUAUAUAUAUAUAUAUAUAUAUAUAUAUAUAUAUAUAUAUAUAUUAGUACAGUGGAUUCCUUGUAUCAUGAUUAGAAUUGUAUGGCUAUAGGCCACGCCCAUUUGCGUCUUAAAAACAUUCUGCCAUUUUGGACUUUAGGAUUUUUUUGCUUCCUGGCACAUAUCUCAUCUAUUGUUCACUGAAAUUGGUAUACAGCAUAUUUAGUUGGAGCCAAACUUGACUUGAGGUUUGGGUUUGGGUUUCACUUACUGUUUGUCUGUAAUUGGUUGCCAUGCAUUUAGCAGGCCACACAUCUUCAAUUACAAUUUGCAUAUUGCACUUGGCUAUACGGAUAUUUUGAAAAUAUUUUGAUGAAUUGUUCAGUCCUAUAAGCUACUGCUUUAUUGUUUCAAAUGGCUGCACAGUAGCAAUACAAAACCAAAAAUUUCAUCAACAUGACUUUCACUGACACCUUUACAAACCAUAUUAUUUGUGACUAUAUCGAUCACUGAUUCCCAACCUUUCUCCUAAAGGGACCCUUUUCUGUCAGUGACUAAACUGACGGCCCCUGCUUAAGUGACAUACGUUAUGGAUAUUUGAUAUUAUAUUCAUACAGUUCAUUCAUAUUCAAACUGUACAAUAAACCCAAACAGUGAACAGUGAAGAUGAAGAUGAGAUGAAGGAGAAACACAAGAUCACUGUCAGUUGCUUACUGGACAAACCCAUCAUCUGAACAUCUGAACAGAGACACCAUUAUAGUGGGGAGUGCUAUGUGCAUAAUUCAGUCUAUGUUCAGGAUUAGAAGAGUAUAUCACUACUCAACUGCUCGAAAACAUGUUGAGAAAUAAAGAAAUGAUAUCUCCAGUAUUUCAGUGUCUUAUUCGAAAAUGUUGAAAAUAGUAAAUAAUGUCUGACAAUAUGAGGUACUUGUGUCCAUUGUAUGCAACCUGAUACUUGCAUACAAUCCACUACAUUUUAGAAUAAUCAUGUAUAAACCACGUAUCUCCAGAUGUGUUGAUUGAAUGUUUGUGACUGAAGGAUGAAAUGUUCCUUUAUAGGUUGAAAAAAUUCUUACUCCUACUUCUUCUUAAGAUAAAUAAGUAAUUUAAAAACUCUUUGGAUUAUUGCAUUGUCACAAAGCUGAAAACAGGAUUCCUCCUGGCUCUCCUGCUUUGACAUCCCUCCCUCUUAUGACGGCCAAUCACAAAGGAGGGACUGUAACCAAUCAUAUGUAGUGACAUGGCUACUUACUGCCAAAAAAAAAAUCACUUUCUAUUAUUUGUAGCUCUGAUCUUGCGCCUGCUCAACAAAUAGUUUUCUCCUCACAGACUACCAAAAUGCUCUCGCCAGCAGAGAAAUUCUGUGUGCAAAAGUAAUCUGCUCAUGGUUUUUGGCAGUGAUAUGCCGCCAUAAUGGACGACAUAAUUAAGGUUGGUUGACUGGGUCAGAACAUCUCCUAACCUGCAGCUCUUGUGGCGUGUUGCCGGUCUGCAGAGGUCAGUACGUAUCAAAAGUGCUCACAGUCUUACUGCUGAUCAAUAUAUCAGUCUAUAUACUGUUAGUGAUCAAUAUAUCAGUCUAUAUACUGUUACUGCUGAUCGGUGGAUACAACCACAACAACACAACAGCAUUGUUAGGGACUGCACAUAGGAUGUAUGCCCCUAAUGGAUAAAAAGCAAUACACUACUCUCAUUUCAUGAUAUUAAACUGACAGUGGCCUCAGAAUUUACUUUUACCACUGCUUUCACCUAAAAGGGGGCGGGAUUUCAUACAGGGCCAAAGUACCCGACUUGGCCACUCUCAUCUAUAAUGUGAUGCAAAGGAGAGUAUAUGAGUCUGUUCUCGCAUGAAGUCCAGAGUCUGAAAUCAAAGACGGAUUGGUUUACAAUAACUUCUGGGUACAAAACCUCUGACAGUUAACGCGAUGCAUGUUUGGUCAUUUAUCUGACAAUGACAUGGCCUCAGCCUCUCUGAUUGGACCAAAGCUAAAGUUCAGUUACUGUAAAUAUCAGCAUCUAUUACUCCUAUGUUCUCCUGGAUCAAGCAGAGGGAGUGCUUCGCAGAGAAACUGAGGAAACUGGACCAAGAGCUGGAGUCACUCAGGGAGAAGUGUAACGCUGCAGAAUGUGUUGGAAGCACAUAUGCAGUGGUUGGAUCCUUAUCUCUGAUCGGGGCUGCUGUGGCCACUUUGUUCACUGGCGGUGCAGCUGCUCCACUUUUAGUGGCAGGAGCAGCGUGUUCAGGUGUAGGUCUUACCAUAUCUGUGACUUCUUAAAUCACCACCACACCAUGAAAGAGGCACAGGAGAUUGAAAAGAAGAGCAAAGAGGUUGCAGAAGAAAUCCAGGAUCUGUUCAAGCAACUGAAGGUUGAGAGUUCCUCCACUGACCCAGAUGAAGUGGACCACCAACACGUCAUAACUGACAUUCUGAAAGGCCUGGCCAGAAGAUGUGGACUGAAAUGGCAUUGAAUUUCAAGAGGAUUUUUGUUGCAAUAAAGAGAAACAUCAACCAGAUCUUACUCAGACCUGCAGUGAAAGUUGCACUGGUAGUAAAACUUGCCAAUAUUUUACAAUUUUUCACAUUUAAAGUUAAUGGGAAAAUAUACAAACAUUUGUUUAAUAAAGGAGCUAAAGAAUUCACCAUACCAAUGAUUAAAAUUGCUGAAGAAGGAGCAAAAAAACUCACCAAAGACAUGGCUAAGACUGGAUGUAAAACAGCCUUUAAAGGAGGCGCUAUGGUAAGAUUCACUAACUAUACACACAUGAAUUGUUUCAUAAUUAAAUCUCAUAAAUCAUUUUAAAAUUAAAUAACAGCAUUUCUUUAUUUGUGAUUGUUAAUUAUCGUUUUUUUUAAUGAUUUUGGGACACGUGUUCUGAGGCUGACAGUCUGAUAAUAUUGAAAAUGAAUCACGUGUUGAUCCAUAUUCAUCAUCAGGUUGUAGGAGGAGCUGUUGGACUGGCGUUUGAACUUCCUGAGGCGAUUGACAACUGGAAAGACCAGAUCAAGAAUAAUCAUGUGACUGAAGCGAGCCAAUCACUGAGAGAUACAGCUAAGGCCAUUGAAAAGAUCUGCCAGACACUGAGGGAACAGUUCGACAACAUGAAGUAAGAAGUUUUCUGUGAUUCUCCACCCAGAUUCUCUCCUCCUGUAGAUCUGAGAACAGCAGCUGGACUCAUUUAGUUUAGAUUCAUGUGACUUCAAAUCCUGAC